GGGCACACUAUUGGGGCGACUUCAAUUGGACACACUCGCGUUCGCGUCGCGGAAGAAAUAAAAAAGGAAGCACUGCAACUGCACUGACUAUUUUUAAAGUACGGCCGCGAUUAGACAAGCCUUAAGAACAGUUGUCAAUAGACAGUCCGAUUGGUCAUAAAUAAGCGAGAGUGAUUAAGAGAAAAGCGAAUAAAGCUGUGCCAAAUUCUUUUGCAUUCGCUUUGCCCACCGCUUUCAUCGCGAGUUUUUCACUGUGUUAGUGAGCGAAGAGAAGAGAAGCGUGUGCAAAUAACUUUUGCCGCGUUGUCUGCUGCGAAUUUCCAAGCCAAAGAGGACAGAGAACAGAGAGCAGAGAGGAUCGGAUUCGGAUGUCGCUGAAGCACCAGAACAAAUUGUACCAACCGCUCCCAACGGCGGCCGCCAUGGACAACCCGGCGAUGAUCCAGAGCGGGAGCAGCGGGAGUGGCUCCUCUGAGGAGGGCGGCAGUCGGGAGGAUGUGGCAAAUCUCUCGCCCGACGGACUUCCUGUGACCUACUCGUCACAACAGUUGAUGCCCUCGGAUUCGGACAGCAUGGAGGAGGAGCGCCACCGCCUGCGAACCCACCACCACCACCACCAUCAGCUGGCCGAGAUCCACCCGCCCUCCGCCGCCGUUCCCUCCCGUCUCUCCUCCGUGGCAAGGUCACAUUGGUUCACCGUCACCGUUCUCUGUUUCGUGAACCUGAUCAACUACAUGGACCGCUUCACGAUUGCAGGUGUUCUAACGGACGUUCGUGGGGAUUUUGACAUCGGAAAUGACAGUGCCGGACUUCUGCAGACCGUGUUCGUGAUUUCGUAUAUGGUGUGUGCUCCUAUCUUCGGUUAUCUGGGUGAUCGCUACUCCCGCCCCAGGAUCAUGGCGGUGGGCGUGGCCCUGUGGAGCACCACCACCCUGCUGGGAUCGUUCAUGGAGAGCUUCGGAUGGUUCAUCAGCUUCCGGGCACUGGUGGGAAUCGGCGAGGCCUCGUACAGCACCAUUGCGCCGACGAUCAUCUCGGACCUCUUCGUUCACGACAUGCGCUCCAAGAUGCUGGCGCUGUUCUAUUUUGCCAUACCCGUGGGAUCCGGUCUGGGCUACAUUGUGGGAUCCAAGACCGCUCACCUGGCCAACAACUGGCGCUGGGCCCUGAGGGUCACACCCAUUCUGGGCAUCGUGGCCGUCCUGCUGAUCGUGCUCAUCAAGGAUCCGGAGCGGGGUCACAGCGAGGGAUCGCACAAUCUGGAGGCCACCACCUACAAGCAGGACAUCAAGGCCCUGGUCAAGAACCGCUCAUUCAUGCUCUCCACGGCGGGAUUCACGUGCGUGGCCUUCGUAGCCGGAGCUCUGUCCUGGUGGGGACCUUCCUUCAUCUAUCUAGGCAUGAAGUUGCAGCCCGGCAAUGAGAACAUCGUCCAGGACGAUGUUGCGUUCAACUUUGGAGUCAUCACAAUGUUGGCGGGCCUGCUGGGCGUGCCCAUGGGCUCGUUCCUGUCCCAGUACCUGGUAAAACGAUAUCCGACUGCGGAUCCGGUGGUCUGCGCCUUUGGGCUCCUCGUGAGCGCUCCGAUGCUGACGGGCGCUGUGCUCCUGGUGAACAGUAAUUCGGCGGGCACCUAUGCGCUCAUCUUUUUCGGGCAGUUAGCUUUAAAUUUGAAUUGGGCAAUUGUUGCGGACAUACUGCUGUAUGUUGUGGUACCCACACGUCGCUCUACAGCCGAAGCCUUUCAAAUCCUCAUCUCACAUGCAUUGGGAGAUGCCGGAAGUCCCUAUUUGGUGGGAGCGAUAUCCGAAUCCAUCAUGAAGCACCUGAAAAAGAACCCCAGCGAUUCUGGUCUGAGCACUGAAUUACAGAGCAUGUCCCAAGUGGCUGAGACUGCCAUCACCAAUGUCACCCAGGCCAUCGUUGAGACCACCACCAACAUGAUCGAAACGGUGCGCUCGUCAGGCUCGAGCUCCACGGAAUACUCGGAUGUGGAGCAGUUUGAGGGACUGCAGUACGCACUGUUCUCCACCACCUUUGUGGAGGUGGUGGGCGGCAUCUUCUUUAUGAUUACGGCCUGCUUCAUCAUCAAGGACAAGUACAAUGCCACGCGGGGACUACAAGGCGACCAGGGUCCGCGAGCGGUGCGGUUGUCAGUUGGCACGGCCAGCGGGCAAAAGGACGUUGAGUCCUUCAACUCGGACUGCCUGGUCCUGUGCACUGACAUCGCCCUGCGCGAACGCACGUGAUAGCACGAAUAUGAAAUCUUAAGGUGUGCCUAGGCACCGAAUGAUUACUUUUUGGCCCCAGUUCCUGAGGUCUCGGCUCAACAACAGCAGCGGGAUCAGCAGCGGGGCCAAAUUGCCUAAUACCAGCCGAUCCUAGAGGUUAUGCUGCGCACUCAGAGCUCCGAUGGCAUGCCGAGUGAACUGAUACUGACUGAAAACCAUCUUUAAUUUAAUAUAUCCUCACUCGCACCACGCACAUCCCGCAUCGGAUCGUACUGGAAGCUUACGGGGACUUUGCGGCUGACAAGUCCCCAGUGUUCAAGUUCCUAAUGGGAAAGGAAGGACUCUGGAGGAGGAAGGAGGAGGGAAGCAGGAAGGACCACCAUGCCAACGUUCAAGCACACCACACACUGAUUUGUAGAUAUAUAUACAAACACUCACUCUCACAGGCACUCACCAAGUCAUAACAUUACACAGAUCAUUUUACUUGUAAACGGUGGAGGGCUAGGUAAUAGCCCUGCUCUAAAAUCGUAGUCGUAGAUAGGUCUAGCUCUGGUAUUUUAGGCUAACUUUAAGUCAUACAAAGAUUCAAGCUGGAUUCGCAUUCGAAACAGUGCUUCCUCAGAUCGGAUAAUGUAAAUAGAUUAUCUCAGGCAUCGAAAGCGGAAUGCCUGCAGUUUGGAUAUUAAUAAAAUGUAUGUACUUUACGCAUGAAUUGUAAAUAUAGAUAAGCAUCGGGCCAUUAUAUAAGCGCAUAGUCUAUUUAAUCAGUUUAAUCGUAACGCCUUAGUUUUACUCUAAAUAUAACUUUAGUUCUAGCUUUAGAUAGUUGAGUAACAAAUUGGAAGAAAAGUGUUUGCACCCUCAACAAAACUGAAUAUUACAGCAUAACUAUUUUAAACGACAA